GCCGGGAACAGUGGUGUGUCCCUGUGGUUCCUGCUCCUCGGAAGGCUGAGGCAGGAGGAUAAGCCUAGGGAUUCUUGAGCCCAAGAGUUCUAGGCUGUAGUGUGCUAUAUUGAUCGAGUGUCUGUGCUAAGUUCAGCUUCAAUAUGGUGACCUCCUGUAAGCAAGGGUGUCUAAGGAGGGGUGAACAGGCCCAGGAUGAAAAUGGAGCAGAUCAAAACUGUGCUGAUCAGUGGUGGGAUUGUGACUGUGAAUAGCCACUGCAUUCCACCCUAGACAACAUAGUGAGACUCCGUCUCUA
rfam:Pan troglodytes isolate Yerkes chimp pedigree #C0471 (Clint) chromosome 15, whole genome shotgun sequence.